rnacentral:rRNA from 1 species
UGCGAUAAGUGUGGACAGCGCUACGCUUCGUACCAGCGCUCGCUUGGAUAUCCUCCGAAACUCAGAGGCUAAUACACGAUCGAUACGGUCUGCCGCGACAAUGUGGUUGUCCUUCCCGAUUUGGAACAGGAAACUCUCCGCCUACGGGUGCGAGUCUGUCUCUCUGUUUUCCAUUCCGGAUAAGGUUUCCACAUAACACGGCGCUUGUCAGCGAUCCUUCCAAGGCCGCUUGGCACUUUUCUCCAAAAAGUCGCCGGUGGUGGAUUGCGCCCGGUCGCUUCUCGAAGACCAGCGUCUGGAACAAGGCAGUGUGUCAAGGCUGACUCAGACCGGUCCCUGAUCUGGUUUGGCGAAGAAGAGAUGGAUCUCAAUGCGAUUAAACCGAGAUCAAUGCGAUUAAACCGAGACGAGACAACAAGGAAGAGAAGGGACGUGUACGAACGCCGUGUCUGCCCGUCUUUCUCUCUGCCUUUCUUCUUCUUGUGCGGCUGUGUGGUGGAAUGAUUGUACCUGGAAUGAAUCAAGUGGUAAAUCGACAACGUUCCUAUUGUUGAUUGGAAAACUGUGCGCGCCAACAACAACAAGGGACAGCAAUUAUCGCCAGCAGGCAGCAGGGCUGAAGAAUGAAGAGAUGAAGGACUGGUUUGUUGCAGAGCGAAGAAACCGUGUGGUUUGUCCCAGCAAAAAAAAGCAGAGCAUCGUUGUUGUCGUCGCCAUCGGUUGUGUUGUUCGAAGAAAAGAGGCUAAUAUGCUGUUAUGACGCGACGGAUUGUUGCUGUGGAAAAUUCCGUCGUCGUCGUCGGGAGAAAGAGCUGGCAAACUCCCACACCACCAGGAACUGUUGUUGCGAUUAUUUGCUAUGCUUGUGGAUGAGACUCAUCGCCAAAGAAAAAAGGGACGGUCGCGCUGGCUGAAUCUAAAAAGUACGGGAUCGUUUCUACAGCGGUUACCGGCUUUUCUUUCUGCUUGAUCGCACGGACUUCUGACCUAUCAGCUUUUGAUUGUGGUGUCGUGGACCACAAUGGCAGUAACGGGUAACGGAGAAUCAGGGUUCGAUUCCGGAGAGGGAGCCUGAGAAACGGCUACCACUGCCAAGGCGGGCAGCAGGCACGCAAAUUGCCCAAUGUUAACUCGAUUCUGACGAGGCAGCGACGAACUGCAGCAAUCCUGUCGGUCUAUUCGACCGGUGGGUUUUGGAAUGGAUGCUAUCCAAACACAGUGAUGAGUAUCGACUGGAAGGCAAGUCUGGUGCCAGCAGCUGCGGUAAUUCCAGCUCCAAGAGUGUACACUAACAUUGUUGCGGUUAAAACGCCUGUAGUCGGACGCUGGGCGUGUGGUCUGCAAGGUCGAAUCGCGCGAAUUGGACUGUUCCAUUCACGGGUUUUCUUCGCUGAGGGAUUACAGCUUGUCUGUCUUGUCUAACAGGAAGAUUGUCCCGCUGUUCGGAAGGUUCUUUUUCUCGUUGGAUUCCUUCCAAGCCUUGCAGUACGUUCCCACGCCCGAUUGAAUUUACCGGAUGAUGAUGAGAUCGCCCCUGCUACAAGUCUACUUCAGUGUAGAUCGAUGCGGAAAUUGUACGCCAAACGCUCGUGUGUCUGACUGUCUCGUAGUACUGCGCUUGAUAUAUCAACCAAAGCCAUGCAGCGUGGAGAAACGUUUUCACGGCCGGUUUCGUUGCAACAGGUGUCGGCUUGCAAUUACUUUCCACUCUCGAGUGGUUGUUUUGCUCUGUCGGGUCUUGUCCAGCUGCCGGAUUUCCGUGGCGCUCUCCACGAGGGUUGUUUCGAAAUGGCCUGUGCUUUCAGUCCACCGCCGGGGUCCAUCAUCGCUGUUACCGUGGAAAACUCAGUGUGCUUCAGGCGACCGCCCGUUUCAAUUGGAAUGGUUUCAACAUCGUUCCAAAUCGGCUGUAUGCUCAUCCAUGGAAUAUCGACGCAUCGACCUGAUUCUUGGCUUACCGAUUCGGAGUUGUGCUGGCCUUCGUGCUGUAUCAGGAAAACGUGGUUUCGCUUAUCGUUCCAUUGUCGUACGCCGUUCCGGUCCGUGUUCAAGCUAUCGCCUACUAUCCGGCUUGUUCAGUUCAUGGUGUUCCGGGAUUUGUCUCCUCGCUGGUUUCUUGUCCUACGCGUUUGUUGGCGGCAGCAGACUGUUGUUUCCGUGAUUCGGAAUUCCCUUUCGGGGGUUUUCCAUCGACGCGGCAAGCAAUUUCUCUUCCCCUCUUUCGCGCAAGCAAGUUGUUGGCGUUGCAGUUCAUACUCUCGGGCGGCAUGUUUCCUGCAGCAAAACCGGUUGGCGGUACGUCUUGCGCGGUUUUACCAGACGACGUUUUUACGACAUGGAAAGGCGAUACCGAUCGGCCAUGACGGGACUGCUCGACGUGAAGGAUAUUUCGGCGCCAGAGGUGAAAUUCUUAGACCGCCGAAGGAUCAACGGCGGCGAAGGCGCUCUGCAAGUGCAUGUUCAUCGAUCAAGGACGAGAGUGUGGGGAGCAAAGAUGAUCAGACACCGUCGUAGUCCACAACUGUAAACCAUGCCAGCUCGAUGUCGGAAACGCAAGUCAUCCGAGACGUUUUCUGCGUCACGCCCCCUGCAACGAGAAAUCCAAGCCUACGGGUUCCGGGGGGAGUACAUUCGCAAGGCCGAAACUUAAAGGAAUUGACGGAAUGGCACCACCAGGCGUGGAAUAUGCGGCUUAAUUUGACUCAACACGGGGAAUCUUACCAGGUCAGGACAUUGUUCGGAUUGACAGACCGAUUAGCUCUUUCUUGAUUCUGUGGAUGGUGGUGCAUGGCCGCUCCUGAUUGGUGGAUUGAUUUGUCUGGCUGAUUCCGAUAACGAGUGAGAUAUCUACCUUCCAGUACGCCCCGACCUCGCAAUUGUAGGGAACUUGAUACCGGUGUUUCCAUGUCCCGUUUUCGCCUGCUGCGUUGGAUUAGCUCUUCGUUGUUGUCGGUUUCGUUCGUGACUAACUGGCCGUUGUCGUUUCUCUUGCUCUUUCCUUUCGGGGUUUUUGCAAGAAGCGGGUACGGAAAAGUGGGCGCGUUCGUUGUCCGGGUGCAGCGUUUUGUGCGACGUCUGGCGUUGUUGGUUUGUAAGCGGGGUUUCUUGGCGCCGGUUAUCACCCGAGAGGUCUUACGUCAGAUCUUCGUGUUCUUUCUGUGGAAUUUCAUUUCGCUUCUCUGAGGUGCUGCGUACGCUACCAAGUACGUCGUAUGCUAGAGCCAACAGCAGGUCUGUGAUGCUCCCAGAUGUCCUGGACCGCACGCGCAUUACACUGGAUCGGUGAAUGUGUACCAUGCAACCAUUCGUUCGGCGGCGCUUUCCGGUUUGUUUCGACAGGCCGGCGACGCUGUUUUCCGCGGCGAGUGGAUUUGCCCUUGCUAGAAAGUGGUUCGGAAACCAUGGGAAACCGCCUGUGUUUGAAAGCGUCUUUCCGGUUUGUUUAACUCCUCGCGGGUUUCAACCGGAAACGACUCGUCCGUGUUCGGGAUUGAUGCUUGCAACUGUCUGCCAUGAACGAGGAAUGCCUAGUAUGCGCGAGUCAUCAGC